CUCUAUUAAAAACUUAGAAAUAUGAACAAUUUAAUUUACAAAAUUAACCCAAACAACCAUAAAUGCAUUUCCAAAAGGGUGCCACCCAUUGAGUAAUCCAAACCAGAGUAAAUGAAUUCUCAAAAGCUUCAAACUUUUCCUCAAACCCGAGCUACUGAAAAUUUACCUGAAAAUGAACAUCUCCAAAAACACCCCAACUGAAAUGAUCUGAUCCAACCUCGCUAAAAUAAAUAAAUAAACCUUUGUCCUUUCAACUUGAUGGUCAAGCCAAAUGCCACCUCCAAUGUCCCCUUUCCCAGUUGCUACUUGCUGUUUUGAGAAAAUUUCCUUUUAAAUUAUUUUCAGAUUUCUAUAUAUUGUAACCUCAGCCAGACUGAUUAUAAUAAACAAAAUUUCAAAAUACUCCAGAAACUGAUUCAGCCCUAAAAACAUGGUAAUAAUGAUUAUACUAUCUACCCGCCUAAAAGUAAAUUUUUCGCUAAGAAUGGGGAGGGUGACCAUAAUACACCAUCACAGGUGGCUGAAGAGAGCGAAAACUAGGAGGACCUGGUGCUUGUUGGUUUAAGGGCAUUGGUUGCUGCCGAGUUAUUGGGGCCUGCUGCUGUGCCAUAGGCAUUUGUUGCUGCUGAGUUAUCUGUGAUGGCUGUUGAGCCAAAGGAACCAUUGGACUCACCAUGUAGGGUGGGGGUGGGGGUGGCCCCGGAGGCAAGGGAGAAAUGCUUCCAUAGCCAUACGGGGUCAUAAUACCCCCUGAUGGCUGCAAAUAUUGUUGGGAUGGAUUUGGAAGCAUGUGAAAUUGAGCUUGAGAGCUAUGGGCCUGGUUCUGCAUGGUUGGUGGGGACAACAAAACUGGCUGAUACGAAUGGUUAGAUGGAGCAGAAAGUGACCCUGCAGGCAUAAAAACACUGGGAUCUGAAAUAGCCAAGGACUUCUCAGGCUUUGACAAUGAAUCAAUAACUGAAUUCGUGGGCACGGCCGCUAAUGAAUUUGACGGUGUUGAGACCUUUGUUAAUCCAGCAUUCUUUGCUUCUUCUGCUGCAAAUGUAGAAAGAACAGAGUGCAUAAUCAUUUGAGAGGAACUGGAAGCUGCAAGCUUAUCUGCUACUUCAGCAGCAAUGGCUGCAGCUGUCCUCUUAGUUGUUUGUCCUGCUUUUGCAUUUGUAUCAAUGAGCUGGGUUGUGGAAGCACUGGGUACAUAAUCUUCAUCAUUAAGCCGCUUUCGCAUGUUGUUGGCUUCCUCAGCUUGUGCCUGGGCAACCUGCAUCUGAGUUCGAAUAUUCUCCAAUUCGGACUCCUGUUCAUGUAGAGCUUCUUUUAACUGAGACACAAGUGCUACUCUACUUGCUUCAACUGAUUUUAGUUUCUCAAUACAUUGCUUCAAAAGAUUUUCUUCCUCCUCUAGGUCUUUGGCUAAAAUUUUUCUUUUUGGAUCUUUUCCAUUACUACAGGCAAUAUCAACAUCUUUCUCC
rnacentral:misc_RNA from 1 species